rnacentral:rRNA from 1 species
CAAGUCGAGCGGCAGCGCGGGGGCAACCCUGGCGGCGAGCGGCGAACGGGUGAGUAAUACAUCGGAACGUGCCCAGUAGCGGGGGAUAACCAGUCGAAAGAUUGGCUAAUACCGCAUACGAUCUACGGAUGAAAGCGGGGGACCGCAAGGCCUCGCACUAUUGGAGCGGCCGAUGUCGGAUUAGCUAGUUGGCGGGGUAAGAGCCCACCAAGGCGACGAUCCGUAGCUGGUCUGAGAGGAUGAUCAGCCACACUGGAACUGAGACACGGUCCAGACUCCUACGGGAGGCAGCAGUGGGGAAUUUUGGACAAUGGGCGCAAGCCUGAUCCAGCCAUGCCGCGUGAGUGAAGAAGGCCUUCGGGUUGUAAAGCUCUUUCGGCGGGGACGAAACGGUCCGGGCUAACACCACGGACUAAUGACGGUACUCGCAGAAGAAGCACCGGCUAACUACGUGCCAGCAGCCGCGGUAAUACGUAGGGUGCAGGCGUUAAUCGGAAUUACUGGGCGUAAAGCGUGCGCAGGCGGCUCCUUAAGUCAGAUGUGAAAGCCCCGGGCUUAACCUGGGAACUGCGUUUGAAACUGGGGAGCUAGAGUGUGGAA